UACGUAGGUGACAAGCGUUGUCCGGAUUUACUGGGCGUAAAGAGCGCGCAGGCGGUCGUUCAAGUCGAGUGUGAAAGCCCCGGCUCAACUGGGGAGGGUCAUUCGAUACUGAUCGACUCGAAGGCAGGAGAGGGUAGUGGAAUUCCCGGUGUAGUGGUGAAAUGCGUAGAUAUCGGGAGGAACACCAGUGGCGAAGGCGGUUGCCUGGAGCUUGCUGACGCUGAUGCGCGAAAGCGUGGGAGCGAGUCCGG
rnacentral:rRNA from 1 species